UCAAGCGAAUAAGUGCAUGUGGUGGAUGCCUUGGCGAUUACAGGCGAUGAAGGACGCGACAGCCUGCGAUAAGCUGCGGGGAGCCGGCAAAUGGGCGCUGAUCCGCAGAUUUCCGAAUGGGGAAACCCGGCCUCUUUGAGGUCACCUCACUCUGAAUACAUAGGAGUGAAGGAGCGAACGCGGAGAACUGAAACAUCUCAGUAACCGCAGGAACAGAAAUCAACCGAGAUUCCCAAAGUAGUGGCGAGCGAAAUGGGAAGAGCCGUCGAGUUUUAGCACGCGCGUUAGCGAAAUGGUCUGGAAAGGCCAGCCGUAGUGGGUGAUAGCCCCGUACGCGAAAACCCGUGUGUGGAACUAAGCUCGAGACAAGUAGGGCGGGACACGUGAAAUCCUGUCUGAAGAUGGGGGGACCAUCCUCCAAGGCUAAAUACUCGUAAUCGACCGAUAGUGAACCAGUACCGUGAGGGAAAGGCGAAAAGAACCCCGGGAGGGGAGUGAAAUAGAUCCUGAAACCGCAUGCAUACAAACAGUCGGAGCCUGGAGCAAUCCGGGUGACGGCGUACCUUUUGUAUAAUGGGUCAGCGACUUACGUUGCGUAGCGAGCUUAAGGCUUGAUGCCGGAGGCGUAGCGAAAGCGAGUCUGAACAGGGCGUUCAGUUGCGCGGCGUAGACCCGAAACCGGUUGAUCUAUCCAUGGCCAGGCUGAAAGUGGGGUAACACUCACCGGAGGGCCGAACCCACGCCCGUUGAAAAGGUCGGGGAUGAGCUGUGGAUAGGGGUGAAAGGCUAAACAAAACCGGAGAUAGCUGGUUCUCCUCGAAAACUAUUGAGGUAGUGCCUCGUGUAUUACCGACGGGGGUAGAGCACUGUUAUGGCUAGGGGGCCGCUAUAGGCUUACCAAACCAUUGCAAACUCCGAAUACCGUCGAGUACAGCACGGGAGACAGUCCCCGGGUGCUAACGUCCGGGGACAAGAGGGAAACAACCCAGACCGCCAGCUAAGGUCCCCAAUAUCGGCUAAGUGGAAAACGAAGUGGGAAGGCACAGACAGUCAGGAGGUUGGCUUAGAAGCAGCCAUCCUUUAAAGAAAGCGUAAUAGCUCACUGAUCGAGUCGUCCUGCGCGGAAGAUGUAACGGGGCUCAAGCCGAUAACCGAAGCUGCGGAUCUCAGGAGCAAUCCUGGGGUGGUAGAGGAGCGUUCCGUACGCCUGCGAAGGUGGGGGGUAACCCCUGCUGGAGGUAUCGGAAGUGCGAAUGCUGACAUGAGUAGCGAUAAAGCGGGUGAAAGGCCCGCUCGCCGAAAGCCCAAGGUUUCCUGCGCAACGUUCAUCGGCGCAGGGUGAGUCGGCCCCUAAGGUGAGGGCGAGAGCCGUAGCUGAUGGGAAUCUGGUCAAUAUUCCAGAACCGCCGACGGGUGCGAUGUGGGGACGGAGAAGGUUAUGCGAACCGGCUGUUGGAUGUGCCGGUGAAGCGUGUAGGCAGAUCUCUUAGGGAAAUCCGGGGGGUCAAUGCCGAGGCGCGGGACCAGGAAGAGCUUGCUCUUUCGAAGUCGCGGAUACCCUGCUUCCAGGAAAAGCCACUAAGCUUCAGCCCGUUGGGACCGUACCGCAAACCGACACAGGUGGGCAGGAUGAAAAUUCUCAGGCGCUUGAGAGAACUCAGGAGAAGGAACUCGGCAAAUUGACACCGUAACUUCGGAAGAAGGUGUGCCUUUGGUAGGUGUAGGGACUUGCUCCCGAAGCCGAAAAAGGCCGCAGAGAAUCGGUGGCUGCGACUGUUUAUCAAAAACACAGCACUCUGCUAAGACGUUGGAAGUCGACGUAUAGGGUGUGACGCCUGCCCGGUGCCGGAAGGUUAAGUGAUGGGGUGCAAGCUCUUGAUCGAAGCCCCGGUAAACGGCGGCCGUAACUAUAACGGUCCUAAGGUAGCGAAAUUCCUUGUCGGGUAAGUUCCGACCCGCACGAAUGGCGUAACGAUGGCCACACUGUCUCCUCCUGAGACUCAGCGAAGUUGAAAUGUUUGUGAAGAUGCAAUCUACCCGCGGCUAGACGGAAAGACCCCAUGAACCUUUACUGUAGCUUUGCAUUGGACUGUGACGCUGUCUGUGUAGGAUAGCUGGGAGGCUUUGAAGCGGUGCCGCUAGGUGCCGUGGAGCCAACGUUGAAAUACCAGCCUGACGACGUUGCGGUUCUAACCUGGGCCCCUUGACGGGGUCGGGGACCGUGCAUGGUAGGCAGUUUGACUGGGGCGGUCUCCUCCCAAAGGGUAACGGAGGAGUGCGAAGGUCACCUAGGUACGGUCGGAAAUCGUACUCAUAGUGCAAUGGCAUAAGGUGGCUUGACUGCGAGACUGACAAGUCGAGCAGGUGCGAAAGCAGGUCAUAGUGAUCCGGUGAUUCUGAAUGGAAGGGUCAUCGCUCAACGGAUAAAAGGUACUCUGGGGAUAACAGGCUGAUUCCUCCCAAGAGUUCAUAUCGACGGGGGAGUUUGGCACCUCGAUGUCGGCUCAUCACAUCCUGGGGCUGUAGCCGGUCCCAAGGGUAUGGCUGUUCGCCAUUUAAAGUGGUACGUGAGCUGGGUUCAAAACGUCGUGAGACAGUUUGGUCCCUAUCUGCCGUGGGCGCUGGAGAUUUGACGGGGGCUGCUCCUAGUACGAGAGGACCGGAGUGGACGUAUCCCUGGUGUACCGGUUGUCACGCCAGUGGCAUUGCCGGGUAGCUAUAUACGGAAGAGAUAACCGCUGAAAGCAUCUAAGCGGGAAACUCGCCUGAAGAUGAGAUCUCCCGGAGCUUCGAGCUCCCUAAAGGGUCGUCGUAGACCACGACGUUGAUAGGCCGGGUGUGCACGAGCAGUAAUGCUCUGAGCUGACCGGUACUAAUUGCCCGUGCGGCUUGACUC
rnacentral:rRNA from 1 species